rnacentral:rRNA from 1 species
GACGAACGCUGGCGGCGUGCUUAACACAUGCAAGUCGAACGAAGUGGCGAACGGGUGAGUAAAGCGUAAUCCACCUGCCCUUAAGAGGGGGACAACAGUUGGAGACGACUGAUAAUACCGCAUACUGAAGGUGGGGAGUGAGUCUGAUUAGCAAGUUGGAGGGGUAACGGCCCACCAAGGCGAUGAUCAGUAGCCGGGCUGGGGAGAUGAACGGCCACAUUGGGACUGGGAAACGGCCCAGACUCCUACGGGAGGCAGCAGUGGGGAAUCUUCCGCAAUGGACGAAAGUCUGACGGAGCAACGCCGCGUGAGUGAUGACGGCCUUCGGGUUGGAAAGCUCUGUUAAUCGGGACGCGGUACCGGAAUAGAAAGCCACGGCUAACUACGUGCCAGCAGCCGCGGUAAUUC